GUCAGAUAAAAGUAGUCCUUACAGAUAACAGUCAGGAAUAGCGGCGAACUAGCAACUAAUACAACUAUAUUACCAGAGACGUGACCUUGAUUGGUUGGAUCUGAGUCUGAGCCAUUGUAUGUUGAGUCUAGUUUCAACUUACGAUGGGUCAGAAAAGAACAUUGUAGGUUGAAAAUAUUGUAUCCUGAGGCCAUUGUAUGUUGAGGGAUCACUGUAUAAUAUAUGCUGGAGUGCAAAUGUUCAACCAUGGGUGUAUAUUUUUUAUUGAAUUACAUUUCCAUGUGUUGGGCAAGGGUGGUGGUGUUUCUAGAUUUAAAAAAAAUACCUUUUAUUCUAAACGGGGAGGUCCCUACAAGGUCAGGUCUUAAAGGUUGAAAUGAACACUUCUUUGAUAAUAGUAUUUCCAUAGAAACUGUCGAGAGGUUUUGGAUAAUUAUUUGCUGUAUCUUUUAUUGCACUUUUACCACGCUGCAAACAAAUCACAAAAACGCUGCAAAAUGAAGCUCCCAGCUGCAGAAUAUAGCUGUCAUCCAUGUAGGUAUAUACAGUAUUUACACAAAUAUAGUAAAAGCAAACAUGGGAAGGCAGCUACCUGGCUACAAACGACAAGAAAGGUCCAAGGCAAAAUGCUGCAGUCCAUUUGUUACUCAAUAGUCACUUCCUGCAAGUCAGUCAUCAACUAACAAAGCCUUCUGGGAGUGUUUGACCACAACAAGUGAAGAGCAACAUGUUGCCAGCCUCUGAUUCUAGACAAUAAAGCCUACCAUUUUGUUUUAAUGAUUAAGGAGCUCAUCUCGAUGCUUAACAUUCAAGUAAAACUUCCAUCAUUUGAGAUGAUUAAAUCUUCCCGAACUCAUCUACUCUUAAGACUUUGGAUUUAUGAACCUCCACAAACGCAACUUGCAGGAGAUACAGUAUAAUCAAGUUAAGGGAUUAAAGUGAUUUUGAAGGCGUCAAAGUGGUAUAGUCAAGUCAGCAUCACAGGUAAACAAAACUAUACUGUCCUUUUUUUUUCUUUUCAAAAAAGUGGUAGGUAGGUCAUCAUUUUGUAAUAUUAUACCAUAUAUAAAUACAAAAAUUUU